GACAGAUAUCCAGUGCCUUAUCCCAUGUGCCAUUGACCAGGAUCCUUACUUUAGAAUGACAAGGGACGUCGCCCCCAGGAUUGGCUAUCCUAAACCAGCCCUGCUGCACUCCACCUUCUUCCCUGCCCUGCAGGGCGCCCAGACCAAAAUGAGUGCCAGCGACCCCAACUCCUCCAUCUUCCUCACUGACACGACAAAGCAGAUCAAAACCAAGGUCAAUAAGCAUGCAUUUUCUGGAGGGAGAGACACCAUCGAGGAGCACAGGCAGUUUGGGGGCAACUGUGAUGUGGACGUGUCUUUCAUGUACCUGACCUUCUUCCUCGAGGACGACGACAAGCUCGAGCAGAUCAAGAAGGAUUACACCAGCGGUGCCAUGCUCACCGGUGAGCUCAAGAAGGUACUCAUAGAGGUUCUCCAGCCCUUGAUCGCAGAGCACCAGGCCCGGCGCAAGGAGGUCACGGACGAGAUAGCAAAAGAGUUCAUGACUCCCCGGGAGCUGUCCUUCGACUUUCAGUAGCACUCGUUUUACAUAUGCUUAUAAAAGAAGUGAUGUAUCAAUAAUCCCAGCCCAGUCAAAGCACCACCACCCGUAGGCUUCUGUCUCAUGAUAAUUAUUGGGCCUGGUCUCUGUAAGCCUGUGUAUGUUAUCAAUACUGUUUCUUCCUGUGA